rnacentral:rRNA from 1 species
UAAAGGGCUGCAGUAUAUUGACUGUACAAAGGUAGCAUAAUCAUUAGUCUUUUAAUUGAAGACUUGUAUGAAAGAUUUGAUGAAAUAUAAACUGUCUCUAAUUUAUAAAUAGAAAUUAAUUUUUUAAUUAGAAAGUUAAAAUAUUAUUAAAAGACGAGAAGACCCUAUAGAGUUUUAUAAUUUAUUUAUUUAAUUAAUAUAUAUAUAUAUAUAUAUAUAUAUAUAUAUAUAUAUAUAAAUUUAAAUUUAAUAAGUAAUUAAAUUAUUAUAUUGGGGUGAUAAGAAAAUUUAAUAAACUUUUUUAUUUUUAAACAUAAAUAAAUGAAAAAAUGAUCCAUUAUUAAUGAUUAAAAGAAAAAAUUACCUUAGGGAUAACAGCGUAAUAUUUUUUUUUAGUACAAAUAAAAAAAAAAGUUUGCGACCUCGAUGUUGGAUUAAGAUAAAAUUUAAAUGCAAAAGUUUAAAAGUGUUGAU